UGUUUCUUAUAUUUUACACGUUAUGACCCAUUAAGUUUUCAAAAAUUAUAUUUGUUGUUACAGAAAUGGCCCAUUAGCUAAAAAUGUAUUAGAUUGAUCGAAAGGUAAAUUAAGCCCACACCUUUUUUCGGGGAAGGAAACCACUUUUAACGUUUUCUUGAAAAAUCAACAACUUUUUUUCUUUGCUUCUCCGUCGGUGGUUCUCAGUUCGACAAAAUAAUCUUUUCUAUAAUCAUCAACAGAAAUUCUUUAAAAGUAUAUCAAAUCCAGAAUAAACACCGUUCAGUCAAUCACCAAACUCAAUCGAUAACUGAAUUCUCGGUAAUUGGCAAGGAUUGUUUAAACGAUGGAUCUUUAAAAAGACAAAAGCAGAGUAGAAGACAAACUUGACAGAUAUUUAAAAAAGUUAAGUCUGACCUGAGAUAUAAUCAUAUUACAUAUGUUCACAUCAACACAGUUUUUAUUUAUUCUCUUGUUGAUCUUUUGCUAUGUUUGUGUUUCUAUUAUUUCCUUGUUCUUAUUUUUUUUUGUCAUUUCAUCUCAUAUAUUGAUAGGUCAUUGAUAAGGGUUGUAUGCCAUAGAAACAGGAAAAUACAGCAUUGGAACUAUUCACAAAACAAACUACAGAAACAAAGAUUGGGAACGCAGCCGAUGACCAUCAUCCUCAAAGCGAGGUUGAUGCUUUCUUUUCAUCCUGUUCAUAGAAGGGCUAUGUUAGCAGAAACUCUUCGUAUUAAAGACAGCAUAUGGAAAAUACACGGUUUGUUCUCAGUUACAUGCACUGGAACUGAGGAGUAGUAUAAUCACCUUUAAAACAGAGUUGCUAGGAUGCAAAUAUGGAUUUAUCAAACAAUCUACAUUAGCUGAUUUACUAAAGGGAGUUCAACAACAGCUUAUUAAAAAAAUUAUCCUCAUCUUUGAGGGUGGAAUUGGUGACGUUGGAGUUGCUGAGGAUCGACAUUUUGUACUUAUGACUCGUCGGUCGGUACUUUCCGGCAGCUGCGGUUAGUGAGAAAUUCUCAAUGAACCUCCAUUGUCCAAGCUGAAGUUUCUUAACACGAGCAAAGAAGAGUCUCUUGCAGGACUUUAACUUCGACCUUCCAAGAUGUUUUGUAUGGUUUGACAUCAUUGAGCAAAGUGAUAGUCGGGUCUGAGGUAAUCAUAGCCAUAUGAGUGUAUGUUUUUUUUUGCGGAUGUAGGAGGUAUUAGUUGAUCGUCCUAGUAUUUAUAGUGAUGUGCUAAACCUUUAGGUUUAAUGAUAGCGUGCUGAAGAUUUGAUUCGAUUUCCAUAUAGUUAAAUUCGAUAGGAUAUUCUGAUUACCAUAUUCUGUUGGAGUUGUUAUAUGAAUUUAAGAUCUAAAAGAUUAUGAACGUA